rnacentral:rRNA from 1 species
UGAGGAAUAUUGGUCAAUGGGCGAGAGCCUGAACCAGCCAAGUAGCGUGCAGGAUGACGGCCCUAUGGGUUGUAAACUGCUUUUGUAUGGGGAUAAAGUCAAUCACGUGUGAUUGUUUGCAGGUACCAUACGAAUAAGGACCGGCUAAUUCCGUGCCAGUNGCCGCGGUAAUACGGAAGGUUCGGGCGUUAUCCGGAUUUAUUGGGUUUAAAGGGAGCGUAGGCCGGAGAUUAAGUGUGUUGUGAAAUGUAGACGCUCAACGUCUGACUUGCAGCGCAUACUGGUUUCCUUGAGUACGCACAACGUUGGCGGAAUUCGUCGUGUAGCGGUGAAAUGCUUAGAUAUGACGAAGAACUCCGAUUGCGAAGGCAGCUGACGGGAGCGCCACUGACGCUUAAGCUCGAAGGUGCGGGUAUCGAACAGGAUUAGAUACCCUGGUAGUCCGCACAGUAAACGAUGGAUGCCCGCUGUUGGUACCUAGUAUCAGCGGCUAAGCGAAAGCAUUAAGCAUCCCACCUGGGGAGUACGCCGGCNACGGU